GCUCACCAGCCAUGCUAACUGUCUAUAGAGACAGACCCAAGAAAAAGUAAUCAACCCCUGACAGCCUUUGCAUUGUCCAUGAUCUCAGCCUACCACCUCCUCCCCCUGAGGCUGGGCCAU
rnacentral:lncRNA from 1 species